UGUGGGUAUUACUGGACAAAUUAAUAGAGGGAGUGAAGGACAAACUUAAAUCCCGGACUACGUAAUGUUGUCUAUGUAAUCGACGAUAGAACAUAACUUUACCUAUCAUUAAUUAUGACUUAGGUAUAAAAUGACUAGGGGGCGUACAUAUAGGGCAAUUUGUCAGUUCUAUAACCCAGACACCAUGAAAACCAAAGACUAGAAGUGUGGACACUGAUACGGGAUUGACCAAGCUGUCAAAUCAUCAUGUUUUUUAUCAUAACCUGUGCCAUCAAUAUACUGACGUUUGUCUGUAGUUUGACUGUUUGGUAGAACUGGCUGCGAGACUUCUUACAGUCUGAUAUUUCUGUUUGAGGUGUACAGAGCCAGGACCCACUAGUAUGAUUGACUGAGGAUUAGUAUGACUGUUUGAUACCUGUGUAUCUAGGGAGAAUGAAUGAGGCUGCAGAGAUCACAGUCAUAGUUCUUAAUGCCAAAGGUUUGCAGAGCAAGAGACCAGGAAAAUGUAAAUUCUCAGUAAUAUUUGGAGUGGGUUCAAAAAAGUAUAGAACAGCUGUAGUCAAAGACCCAGAGGGAAACCCGGAGUGGAGUGAGGAAUCCACAAU